GACGAACGCUGGCGGCGUGCUUAACACAUGCAAGUCGAACGGAAAGGCCCUGCUUUUGUGGGGUGCUCGAGUGGCGAACGGGUGAGUAACACGUGAGUAACCUGCCCUUGACUUUGGGAUAACUUCAGGAAACUGGGGUUAAUACCGGAUAGGAUCUCCUGCUGCAUGGUGGGGGUUGGAAAGUUUCGGCGGUUGGGGAUGGACUCGCGGCUUAUCAGCUUGUUGGUGGGGUAGUGGCUUACCAAGGCUUUGACGGGUAGCCGGCAUGGGAGGGUGACCGGCGACAUGGGGACUAAGAGACGGCGCAGACGCGAACGGGGGGCAACGGGGGGAAAUAUGACACAGUGGGCGGAAGCCGGAGGAGGAAACGCCGGGGGCGGAAAGACGGCCUUGGGGUUGAAAACCGCUUUCGCCUGAGACGAAGCGGGAGUGACGGUAAUGGGUAAAGAAGCACCGGCUAACUACGUG
rnacentral:rRNA from 1 species